rnacentral:rRNA from 1 species
AGUGGCGGACGGGUGAGUAACGCGUGAGAAUCUGCCUUGGGGUCGGGGACAACCACUGGAAACGGUGGCUAAUACCGGAUACGCCUUCGGGUAAAAGAUUUAUUGCCCUAAGAGGAGCUCGCGUCUGAUUAGCUUUGGUGAGGUAAGAGCUCACCAAGGCAGCGAUCAGUAGCUGGUCUGAGAGGACGAUCAGCCACACUGGGACUGAGACACGGCCCAGACUCCUACGGGAGGCAGCAGUGGGGAAUUUUCCGCAAUGGGCGAAAGCCUGACGGAGCAAGACCGCGUGAGGGAGGAAGGCUCUUGGGUUGUAAACCUCUUUUCUCAGGGAAGAAGCUCUGACGGUACCUGAGGAAUCAGCCUCGGCUAACUCCGUGCCAGCAGCCGCGGUAAUACGGAGGAGGCAAGCGUUAUCCGGAAUUAUUGGGCGUAAAGCGUCCGCAGGUGGCGAUUCAAGUCUGCUGUCAAAGCACGGGGCUUAACUCCGUAAAGGCAGUGGAAACUGAAUAGCUAGAGUGCCGUAGGGGUAGAGGGAAUUCCCGGUGUAGCGGUGAAAUGCGUAGAGAUCGGGAAGAACAUCGGUGGCGAAAGCGCUCUACUGGACGGCAACUGACACUCAGGGACGAAAGCUAGGGGAGCGAAUGGGAUUAGAUACCCC